UAGGGAAUCUUGCACAAUGGGCGAAAGCCUGAUGCAGCAACGCCGCGUGCGCGAUGAAGGCCUUCGGGUCGUAAAGCGCUUUUCGGGGAGAUGAGGAAGGACAGUAUCCCCGGAAUAAGUCUCGGCUAACUACGUGCCAGCAGCCGCGGUAAAACGUAGGAGGCAAGCGUUAUCCGAAUUUACUGGGCGUAAAGCGUGUGCAGGCGGUUCGGUAAGUUGGAUGUGAAAUCUCCUGGCUCAACUGGGAGAGGUCGUUCAAAACUGUCGGACUUGAGGAUGGUAGAGGGAGGUGGAAUUCCGGGUGUAGUGGUGAAAUGCGUAGAUAUCCGGAGGAACACCUGUGGCGAAAGCGGCCUCCUGGACCAUACCUGGCGCUCAUACACGAAAGCUAGGGGAGCGAACGGGAUUAGAAACCCCGGUAGUCCUAGCCGUAAACGAUGUAGACUGGGUGUCGGUGGGGUAAAAGCCAUCGGUGCCGAAGCCAACGCGAUAAGUCUACCGCCUGGGGGACUACGGCCGCUAAACGG
rnacentral:rRNA from 1 species